rnacentral:rRNA from 1 species
CCCAGACUCCUACGGGAGGCAGCAGUGGGGGAUAUUGCACAAUGGGGGGAACCCUGAUGCAGCGACGCCGCGUGGGUGAAGGAGCGUUUCGGCGCGUAAAGCCCUAUCGGCAGGGAAGAAGGAGGACGGUACCUGACUAAGAAGCCCCGGCUAACUACGUGCCAGCAGCCGCGGUAAUACGUAGGGGGCAAGCGUUAUCCGGAUUUACUGGGUGUGAAGGGGGCGCAGACGGCAGCGCAAGCCAGGAGUGAAAGCCCGGGGCCCACCCCCGGGACUGCUCUUGGAACUGCGCGGCUGGAGUGCAGGAGGGGCAGGCGGAAUUCCUGGUGUAGCGGUGAAAUGCGUAGAUAUCAGGAGGAACACCGGUGGCGAAGGCGGCCUGCUGGACUGCAACUGACGUUGAGGCCCGAAAGCGUGGGGAGCAAACAGGAUUAGAUACCCGAGUA